UGGUGGUGAAGAGGAGGAGGAGGAGGAGGAGAGGAAAGUGGAGAACUCGGAAACGGCGCGGCAGAGAAAAGCGCACAGGAGCGCGAGCGACGGACACAGCGCGAGAGAGCGCAUGACUUUAAGAUUCACACACACACACACUGACGGGCCGC